rnacentral:tRNA from 1 species
GUUAAAAUUAAUUAAGGUUAAAUGUGUUUAAUUAUUAUUUAGAUUUAAUAAUAAUAGUGCAAAUCUAUAUUUUAAUU